CCCUGAGUAGCGGCGAGCGAAACGGGAAGAGCCCAAACCAACAAGCUUGCUUGUUGGGGUUGUAGGACACUCUGUACGGAGUUACAAAGGACGAUAUUAGACGAAUCAUCUGGAAAGAUGAAUCAAAGAAGGUAACAAUCCUGUAGUUGAAAAUAUUGUCUCUCUUGAGUGGAUCCUGAGUACGACGGAGCACGUGAAAUUCCGUCGGAAUCUGGGAGGACCAUCUCCUAAGGCUAAAUACUCUCUAGUGACCGAUAGUGAACCAGUACCGUGAGGGAAAGGUGAAAAGCACCCCGGAAGGGGAGUGAAAUAGAACCUGAAACCGUGUGCUUACAAGUAGUCAGAGCCCGUUAAUGGGUGAUGGCGUGCCUUUUGUAGAAUGAACCGGCGAGUUACGAUUUGAUGCAAGGUUAAGCAGUAAAUGUGGAGCCGUAGCGAAAGCGAGUCUGAAUAGGGCGUUUAGUAUUUGGUCGUAGACCCGAAACCAGGUGAUCUACCCUUGGUCAGGUUGAAGUUCAGGUAACACUGAAUGGAGGACCGAACCGACUUACGUUGAAAAGUGAGCGGAUGAACUGAGGGUAGCGGAGAAAUUCCAAUCGAACCUGGAGAUAGCUGGUUCUCUCCGAAAUAGCUUUAGGGCUAGCCUCAAGUGAUGAUUAUUGGAGGUAGAGCACUGUUUGGACGAGGGGCCCUUCUCGGGUUACCGAAUUCAGACAAACUCCGAAUGCCAAUUAAUUUAACUUGGGAGUCAGAACAUGGGUGAUAAGGUCCGUGUUCGAAAGGGAAACAGCCCAGACCACCAGCUAAGGUCCCAAAAUAUAUGUUAAGUGGAAAAGGAUGUGGCGUUGCCCAGACAACUAGGAUGUUGGCUUAGAAGCAGCCAUCAUUUAAAGAGUGCGUAAUAGCUCACUAGUCGAGUGACACUGCGCCGAAAAUGUACCGGGGCUAAACAUAUUACCGAAGCUGUGGAUUGUCCUUUGGACAAUGGUAGGAGAGCGUUCUAAGGGCGGUGAAGCAUGAUCGCAAGGACAUGUGGAGCGCUUAGAAGUGAGAAUGCCGGUGUGAGUAGCGAAAGACGGGUGAGAAUCCCGUCCACCGAUUGACUAAGGUUUCCAGAGGAAGGCUCGUCCGCUCUGGGUUAGUCGGGUCCUAAGCUGAGGCCGACAGGCGUAGGCGAUGGAUAACAGG
rnacentral:rRNA from 1 species